UUUUUCUUUUAUUUUUUCGGUCUUUUUGCCUUUUCUAGAGCUGCUCCCGCGGCACAUGGAGGUUCCCAGGCUAGGGGUCGAAUCGGAGCUGUAGCUGCCAGCCUACACCAGAGCCACAGCAAUAUGGGAUCCGAGCCGCGUCUGCGGCCUACACCACAGCUCACGGCAACGCCGGGUCCUUAACCCACUGAGCAAGGCCAGGGAUCGAACCUGCAAUCUCAUGGUUCCUAGUCGGAUUCCUUAACCACUGAGCUACAACGGGAACUCCAAAACCGGAUCCUUUAACCCACUGCACCAGGCCAGGGAUCGAACCUGCACCUCCACAGCGACCCCAUCCACUGCACCAUGGCGGGAACUCUGAGGUUGGUUUUCGACCCAAGAGUUUUGGUCGGGAAAACAAACGUUUAGUCCUUAGCAGACUCUCGGAGGUUGUGAUAAUUUUAAAGGGACAGGGGAUAACACAGAGAAUGACUUUACAGACUGACUCAACGGGCCGCACACAAUGGGCCAGAGAGCCAGGGAUGGCCAACCCAUCAGCAAGGACCCAGGGCAGGAAGGUGGGGAAUCAGGAGGCCCCCACCUCAGGACUGUCCUGGAUGUGUGUGCAGCACCGCGGUGACCAGGGACCAGAAAACAGAGGCAGUGACACGGAAGGCCCUGAGGCCCCUGAGAUCCUGCUCUCCUGAAAACCAAGUCCUGGGACCCCUUGCAGGGACAGGGGCUCACUACGCGAGCUCCAGGAGCCCCUCUUUCCAAUUCCCCAUGGAAAAUAGCCCGCGGCCCCCGUGUCAGGUCGGGGAGAACUAGCCAGCUAGCUAGCGCGUCAUGUCCUGCUUUAAAUUCAGCCUGUCGCUUACACACUGCAGAUACCUGCAUGCGCCAAAGUUGACACUUUACUUCAGCCUUCACAAAUUGGGCAUCUGGGGCUUUUCUUGUGGCUCAGUGGCUUAAAGGAUCCAGCGUUGCCUUUGCUGUGGCUCUGGCUAUAGCUGUGGUGCAGGUUUGGUUCCUGGCCCGGGAACUUUCACAUGCUGCAGGUAAGCCCCCUCCCGCCAAAAAAAAAGGGGGGGGGGAUUGGGCAUCUGAUCAAAAGAACCCAGUUUUCACCCAGAACCCCAGCUACCAGGGAGUCUGGGCACGUGUUGGCCUCCCUGGUCCCUGCAAGUCCUGGAAGCAGUGCAGCAAAGAAGGCACCCAGUCCGCUUCCUUGCCAGUGCUGAGGCUGGAGGAGAAAAAAUCCCCACAGACCCGACCCCGCUGGUCCAGGGCCUGGAAAGGGAGGGACAAGGCCAGUUCUGGGGGUGUGGGGGUGCAGCGGGUGGGCAGUGGGGGAUGCAUGAGGGUGGGUGAGAGGGCCAGAGUGCAGCAGCCAAAGAGCUCAGAGGCUCUGGAACCCUCUCACAGGCCUGUAUUUCACAGGAUAGCAGGGAGCUUUUCUGCAGAAAAUCAUUGAUCCGGGGGGGAGAAAAAUCAAUGAAAGCCCAUUGCCUGAAAAAAUAACUUGGGCUGGAAUUUUUCUAGGGGAAAAAAAAAAAAAGCUCCGCACCGUAACUCAUCUGCGGCCCUAUUAAUAACACAGAGAGGCCGCAGCCGAGAAACAGGACAGGCCUGAGCUGUGCGGGUUAAUGCGGGUUAAUGCGACGCUCAACAGGGAGGGGCCGAGGGCGGGAAGAGGGAAAAGGACUGACGGGGGAAGCCGGGGGAGAAGCCAGGAAGAUGCAGAACGGAGACUCAAGAGGAAGGAGCUGGACACCGGGCGACCGACCCAGCGGCUGCCCAACGUGGGCGGGAGGCCCACGGGUGAUGAGAGGGGUGACCGAGUGCGCUCGCCCAUAAAUGAGAGCGCUGAGUAGUUCACUGUACACAGAAAAGCUGUGCCAAGCUUCCCACGCCUCUGAUGUGACCCCCCCACCCCCGACUUCCCUGUGACCCAGAUGUGGGGUUCGAGCCUCAGGGCCGUUUAUUCAUGCCCUGGCUCAGAUUUCGGGAGAUAAGUUUAAUAUUUUACUCUCCACCUUUGCCUUGCCUAAGGGAACCAUUACUAACGCAGGAGUGUGGAACCUCCCAUUCCUUCAAGCUCCCUUUACAUAAAGAUGAUCUGUUUCUCUCUUUUUUUUCUUUUCAGGGCCACAGCCCGGCAUAUGGAGCCCUAGAAAGCAAAUUAAAAAAAAAAAAGAGAGAGAAAGCACAAAAUCAAAAUAGAUGACUAGACUUCCACAGGCUUUUCUGCAUUUGCUCCUUUUUUUGAAAAACCUGAUUAUAAAAUACCUGUUCCUUCGUACGCCUGUGCUCACAGCAGCGUUACUCAUUCAUGUACAGUGUGGAGGAAACCCGGGCGUCCGCCGGGGGUGGUCAGAGCAGCAGAUGUGCUGCAUCCAUACAAUGGGCCUUAUUCAGCCGUAAAAAGGAAAGAAAUUCUGACAAACACUAUGACGUGGAUGAAUAUUGAGGACAUUUUUUUACGUGGAAUAAGUCCAAAAUAAAAGGACAAAUAACGCAUGACUGACUUCUACAACUGAGGGACCUAGAAGAGGCAAAAUCAGAGAGGCAGGAGUUCCUGCUAUGGCACAAUGGGAUCAUUGGCGUCUCUGGAGCUGGAAUGCAGGUUCGACUCCUGGCCUGGCACAGUAGGUUAAGGAUCCAGCAUUGCCACAGCCGCAGUGCUCAUCACCACUGUGGCUCGUAUCUGAGCCCUGGCCCAGGAACCACAAAUGUCUCGGGGUGGCCAAAAAGAAAAAAAAAAAAAUUUCAGAGAGGCAGAAAGUGGAUGAAGGAUGCCCAGGGAUGCAGGGAGUGGAAAGUGGGGAGUUACUCUCUAACAGGAAGAGACUGCAGUUUGACAAGAUGCAGAGCUCUGGGGGUGGACAGUGGUGGCAGCUGUACCAUGUGAAUGUAC
rnacentral:lncRNA from 1 species